UUGGGAGCUAACAUGUGUUUUUAUGUCAUUAAAACAAGGGAUUGGUGGGUUGUGAUUGAGAUAGCCAAUUUCUGGGGUGAAGGACACAUGAUGUAUAUUCUACACCUGGUUUUCCAAUUACAAGUUCCAAGCUAUGGUGUCAUCUCUUUGGCUUAGUUUGAAUUAGUUUAGUGAUGAUUAACUGAUCCUAUAAUUUAAUUCAAGUUGACGUUGUUUUUGUUGUUGUUGUCAGUAGUGGUGGUAAAUUGUGGUGUAAAGCUGUUCUUAUCUGCUAUUCUUUGAAAGCCAAUGUAAAAGAAGAAAGGAGUAUGCACGUCUCUCUUUUUGUAGGGGUCUAGUAGCAAGCAGCCUCGGUUGGUUCAAGAGCACUGAGCAAAGGUCAUGAGCAGCAAUACUUAAUUUGGGACCCAUUGAUCAUUUAGAGGAUAGACUAAAUAUCUCAAACCUGUCAUCUUUUUGGGGUUGGCUGGAAAGCACUGAACAAAGGCAAAUGAGUAGCACCUACGGAUCACCCCACCACUCUGGAACAACACCAUAGUGUACACUUGUUUGCAAACAUGACGCACACUUUCAAUGUCUCUUCUUCCAAAGGCUUUCUGGAGCUUGGCAUUAUCACUUACUUGCAAGCCUUUGCAUUCAAUUUUGUUUGCAAUUUUAUAAAAUAAGAUUUUCCAUCAUUCUAGUACCAUGAGGUGUCAAAGCAACACCUUUCCUUUUCUUUUUUUUUUUCUUUUG